rnacentral:rRNA from 1 species
AGGGUUUGAUCCUGGCUCAGAACGUACGCUGGCGGCACGCCUAACACAUGCAAGUCGAACGCAGUAGCAAUACUGAGUGGCGAACGGGUGAGUAUAAUGUGGGUAUCUGCCCUUUGGUUUGGAAUAACACGAGGAAACUUGUGCUAAUACCGGAUAAGCCUUCACAGGGAAAGUUUUAUACGCCAAAGGAUGAGCCCGCACUUGAUUAGCUAGUUGGUAAGGUAAUGGCUUACCAAGGUUACGAUCAAUAGCUGUUCUUAGAGGAAGAUCAGCCACAUUGGGACUGAGACACGGCCCAAACUCCUACGGGAGGCAGCAGUGGGGAAUCUUGCACAAUGGGGGAAACCCUGAUGCAGCGAUGCCGCGUGAGUGAAGAAGGCCUUUGGGUUGUAAAGCUCUUUCGUCGGGGAAGAAAAUGACUGUACCCGAAUAAGAAGGUCCGGCUAACUUCGUGCCAGCAGCCGCGGUAAUACGAAGGGACCUAGCGUAGUUCGGAAUUACUGGGCUUAAAGAGCACGUAGGUGGUUAAGAAAGUUGGUGGUGAAAUCCCAAGGCUUAACCUUGGAACUGCCAUCAAAACUUUUUGACUAGAGUAUGAUUGAGGUAAGCGGAAUUUCUAGUGUAGAGGUGAAAUUCGUAGAUAUUAGAAAGAACACCAAUUGCGAAGGCAGCUUUCUGGAUCAUUACUGACACUGAGGUGCGAAAGCAUGGGUAGCGAAGAGGAUUAGAUACCCUCGUAGUCCAUGCCGUAAACGAUGUGUGCUAGACGUUGGGAAUUUAUUUUUCAGUGUCGCAGCAAAAGCGUUAAGCACACCGCCUGGGGAGUACGACCGCAAGGUUAAAACUCAAAUGAAUUGACGGGGACCCGCACAAGUAGUGGAGCAUGUGGUUUAAUUCGAAGAUACGCGCAGAACCUUACCAACACUUGACAUGUUCGUCGCGACUUUAAGAGAUUAGAGUCUUCGGUUCGGCCGGACGAAACACAGGUGCUGCAUGGCUGUCGUCAGCUCGUGUCGUGAGAUGUUGGGUUAAGUCCCGCAACGAGCGCAACCCUUACUUUUAGUUGCUACCAUUUAGUUGGGCACUCUAAAAGAACUGCCAGUGAUAAGCUGGAGGAAGGUGGGGAUGACGUCAAGUCCUCAUGGCCCUUACGUGUUGGGCUACACACGUGCUACAAUGGUAUUUACAGUGGGAUGCUAAGAGGCAACUCCAAGCCAACCCCCAAAAGAUACCUCAGUUCGGAUUGCACUCUGCAACUCGAGUGCAUGAAGCUGGAAUUACUAGUAAUCGUGGAUCAGCGCGCCACGGUGAAUACGUUCCCGGGUCUUGUACACACCGCCCGUCACACCAUGGAAGUUGGUUACACCUUAAGGCAAAGUGUAAAAACUUUGACUACGGUACGAUCAGCGACUGGGGUGAAGUCGUAACAAGGUAGCCG